ACCUAAUAGAUACCCUGGUAGUCCACGCCGUAAACGUUGGGCGCUAGGUGUGGGUCCCUUCCACGGGGUCUGUGCCGCAGCUAAACGCAUUAAGCGCCCCGCCUGGGGAGUACGGCCGCAAGGCUAAAACUCAAAGGAAUUGACGGGGGGCCCGCACAAGCGGCGGAGCAUGUUGCUUAAUUCGACGCAACGCGAAGAACCUUACCAAGGUUUGACAUGGCCGGAAAAACUCAUGGAGACAUGGGGGUCCUUCGGGCCGGUCGACAGGUGGUGCAUGGCUGUCGUCAGCUCGUGUCGUGAGAUGUUGGGUUAAGUCCCGCAACGAGCGCAACCCUCGUCCAAUGUUGCAGCAGGUGAAGCUGGGGACUCAUUGGAGACUGCCGGGUCAACUCGGAGGAAGGUGGGGAUGACGUCAAGUCAUCAUGCCCCUUAUGUCUUGGGCUGCAAACAUGCUACAAUGGCCGGUACAGAGCGCUGCGAGCCUGUGAGGGUGAGCGAAUCGCGGAAA
rnacentral:rRNA from 1 species